AUAAUACUCCCUCCAUCCGGAAUUACUUGUCAUCAAAAUGGAUGUGUCUAGAACUAAAAUACAUCUAGAUACAUCCAUUUCAAUGACAAGUAUUUUCGGACGGAGUGAGUAGUAG
rnacentral:pre_miRNA from 1 species